AAUUUUGGACAAUGGGGGAAACCCUGAUCCAGCCAUCCCGCGUGUAUGAUGAAGGCCUUCGGGUUGUAAAGUACUUUUGGCAGAGAAGAAAAGGUAUCCCCUAAUACGGGAUACUGCUGACGGUAUCUGCAGAAUAAGCACCGGCUAACUACGUGCCAGCAGCCGCGGUAAUACGUAGGGUGCACGCGGUAAUCGGAAUUACUGGGCGUAAAGCGUGUGGAGGCGGUGCGGAAAGAAAGAUGUGAGAUCCCAAGGCUAAACCCUGAAACUGCAUUUUUCACUGACGAACUAGAGUAUGUCAGAGGGAGGUAGAAGUCCACGUGUAGCAGUGAAAUGCGUAGAUAUGUGGAGGAAUGCCGAUGGCGAGGGCAGACCCCUGCGAUAAUACUGACGCUCAGACACGAAAGCGUGGGGAGCAAGCAGG
rnacentral:rRNA from 1 species